AGCUGUGAAGAUAAAACAAUUAAAGUGACGGCGAGUCCGUCACUGUCGUCCCGAUUAACCCGUGACGUUAGCAAGUGCCGUCUGAGCU
rfam:Eutrema salsugineum unplaced genomic scaffold scaffold_13, whole genome shotgun sequence.